rnacentral:rRNA from 1 species
CCUACGGGUGGCAGCAGUGAGGAAUAUUGGUCAAUGGCCGCAAGCCUGAACCAGCCAAGCCGCGUGAAGGACGAAGGUGCCAAGCAUUGUAAACUUCUUUUGUCAAGGGACAAAAUCAGGCUCGAGAGCCUGACCGAGGGUACUUGAAGAAAAAGCAUCGGCUAACUCCGUGCCAGCAGCCGCGGUAAUACGGAGGAUGCGAGCGUUAUCCGGAUUUAUUGGGUUUAAAGGGUGCGUAGGCGGUCGAGUAAGUCAGCGGUAAAAGCCCGGGGCUCAACCCCGGCGAGCCGUUGAAACUGGUUGUCUUGAGAGGGCGAGAGGUAUGCGGAAUGCGUAGUGUAGCGGUGAAAUGCUUAGAUAUUGCGCAGAACUCCGAUUGCGAAGGCAGCAUACCGGCGGUGAUCUGACGCUGAGGCACGAAAGCGUGGGUAUCGAACAGGAUUAGAUACCCGAGUAGUC